GGGAACUGAUUGGGGUUUUGUCUUCUCUGAGAUCUCAGGAACUGCCUCUAAGCCCCUCUUCUGCUCUGGGACGAGGCUGCUUCUACUGUGGCUUUCAGCUUCUGUGAUUUGUUUCCUUCAGGACUUUUGAAAGAUUCUGUCAGCUUUAUUGUGACAUCCUAGAAUGAAUGAUAAUCAUUGGCUCUUAGAGUUGGAAAGAACCUCAGAAGUCAACUAGUCCAAUUUAUGUGUGGAAUUUGAAUCCCUCCUACAACAUUUCUCCAGCCAACAAUUGCUCAUCUAGACUCUAUUUGUAGACUUUCUUGGAUAAGGAAUUUGGAAUUGACU